rnacentral:lncRNA from 1 species
ACCCUUUCAAUCAAGUGGAGAAAGAAGUGAAUGUUUAUGAGUCUCUGCAAGGAGCUAGUUGCUCUCCUUCACUCACCCUUCAUUCAAGCAGGAUGGUGGGCAGUUAAAGGCAUAGUCUCCAGAAUCUAACUGUCUGGCAUUGAAUCCCUGCCUUGCCAGCCACUAGCUAUGGCUCAGGGUAAGGUGCUUGACCUCCUCAGGCCUCGGUUUCCUUUUUCUGUGAAACAGGAAUAACUUAUGAUGGCCAUGAACAAAUUGUACGCUUACUAUGGUGACUAGACAUAAAAUGCUUAGAAUAAUGCCUAGCACAGAGCGCUCAGUGCAUGUGAGUUAUUACGAUUCACUUCUAGAGCUUCUAAAUGUGCCAGACACAGGAGAUACAAAGGAGAACAAAAUAGACAUAUUUACUCAUUCAGCAAAUAUUGAUUGGAAGGCUGCCUAUGUCCCACACUGUGAUGGGGGCUGAGGACAUGAGUCCCUACCCUUGUGAAGCUCAGAGUCUUACAAUAGAGGGAGGUGGACACGACACAAGUAAACAGCUCAAAAUACACACCAGCAAGGCGUGCUCCAGACCAGGAAUGGAAGGCGCGAGAUGCCAUAAUAGAAACUGGGAGAGGCAGAGAAGUUGAGUGGUCAGGGAAGGCCUCUCUGAUAUUUAAAGUACAAUCUCAAGAUGAAAUGGAGCCAAACCCAAGAGGGAAGCAUAAGGUGACUCGUGGGGAGAUGAGGUGAGAAAGGCAGGUCACAUGGGCAUGGUGUCCGGAGGGCAACCAGAAGCCACUGGAUGGUUAUAAGCAGAGAAGCAGCAGGUUCCCACCUGCAUCUUUCUAUGGGGAUUCUGCAGCUCCUCUUUUACUGAAGUGGAAACUGAGGCCCAGGGCCACAUCACGGGUAAAUGGUGCAGCUAGAACCAUAACAGGUCUCAUCAGCCUUGGUUCAGUGAAAUCUUGCCAGUUCACCGUGUACUGCUCACUAACCCCUGUCCCAUACAUUGGGAACCAAGUGCACAAGGUAAGAGCCUGUGACCUCCAAAAGCCCUUCACCUGCUCCUGGGGUCAUGGCGCCUGCCUUGACUUAAACUCAUACCACACCCGGGACUCUGCCAUGUGCAACUACCUUUGUCCAAUGAAAGUUUUCAUGCCAGUGGCUUCUGUAAACGAACAGCUUCCCCGCACUUCUUCCCACCACUUUUUCCAUCCCCCACAGUCACCAGAGUUGACACCCAAGCCAAUAACCACAGGUAAACGUGUUUCUCUCUGGGACACGGAGUUAAACACACAACCGCAGAGAUGCAUCUUGGGCCCAGAAUGGAAGGGCUCAAAGUGCCAGGGAUGACAAAUUCCCCAAGAAUCCAGCUCAGAGCUCCCCCAAGAGACACCCCUCCCCAAAAUAGGCAGAAGGGUCAGGAGCACUCGUGCAAAUACCUGGUCCACAAAACCCCACUGUGCCCAUGGCUUUCCCCACUUCAGCCCUUUCUAUUUUUAUCAGGAGGGUAAAAGGGGGUUGCCAGGUGGGGCUAUGCUGCUGUUUAUGUCUGAAAUUUGAAAAGAUGCACAGUGUACUUGGGAGGAGGCGUUUGCAGUUCAAGGAAUUUCGGAGGAGAAUUUCAAACCCAGCAGGGUGAAUAGGUGCCUUGUGCUCUGGCUUUUGACUCUGGAAAAGCCACGUUUCCAACCAAGGCAUGCAGAGGGGCCAGGGAUGGGGAGAACAUGCAGGGGUGUGAGAUUUGGACAGGCAGUGGAACCAGCUCACCUGGGCACAGGCGACCACUGAUUUUCAGACCGGGGCUGCUUAGGGAGGAAGCCCUCUGGCCCUCCAGGGUAAUUUCUGUUCAUUUGUCCCCCAGGUAAUUCACAGACCUUCCUCUGCCCCCUUGGUCCUCCCUGAUUUACGCCACUCAAGGCUAACCCUUCUGGCCCUUGCAUCUCUCUCCUCUUGAUCAGUGAAUUUUACUCAGUAUUAAUUUUCUCAUAUACACAUAUUUGCUUGCUAGGACCUUAAGUCACUCUCAUUUGUCAAUUUUCUGUUUCCAGAUAAAUUGUAAGCAUCCCUUUAGGAGCUGUAAUGGUCAGUACGCCUUUCAUACACACACACACAAGUUAGGACCUCGUCCAGCAUUUUAUACUGUAGGCACAACAGUGGGAUUCAAUGAGACCAUUCCUUCAAUUAGGGAGAGUAGAGGCAAGAAAGAGCAACAAUUAAAUGACAGCAGAAACUGAGUGAAUUCCAACAUGCCUCUUUUCUCGUCUUCAUCCCUCAAGGUAAUCUGGGUCUGACGCAGCUCUGUAGAGAACUCCUAGCCCGUCCUAUACCUGCCCUUAUUAAGCCAGGGAUGCUCAGGAAGGCUGCUAUGACUUUUGAGGGGGCUGGACUUCUGACUUGACCUGGGAUCUAAGGUGGACUGGAUGCCAUGGCUCCGUGGUGAAAUCUGGCCCAUGUAUAUACGAUCAUAGCUAUUGAUCUCAUUUCUUUGGGCCUCAGGGUAAGUGCCAUGAAGCAUCAGUCUCAUGUUUGUAACCUAAGCUGCAUAAAGGCAACACUCAUUCAAAAAACAAAUUUAAAAAUUCACUAGCGGAGUUCCCCCUGUGGUAUGGCAGUUUAGGAUAGGGGUCUGGCAUUAUCUCUGCAGUGGUGUGGGUUUGAUCCCUGGCCCAAUGCCAUGGGUUAAAAGGAGUUCCUGUUUUGGUUCAGUGGGUUAAGAACUCUACUAAUAUCUGUGAGGAUGCGGGUUCCAUCCUUGGACUCACUCAAGUGGGUUAAGGAUCCGAUGUUGCCAUGAGCUGUGGUGUAGGUGGCAGACGUGGCUGGGAUCCAGCAUUGCUGUGGCUGUGGUGUAGGCUGGCAGCUCCAGCUCCAAUUCAAUCCCUUGCCUGGGAACUUCCAUAUGCCACAGGUGCGGCCCUAAAAAGAGCCCCCCCCAAAAAAAAGUAUCUGGUGUUGCCACAUCUGUGGUGUGGGUUGUGGCUGUGGCUUGGACUCAAUCCCUGGCACAGGCAGGCCCACAUGCCACAAGUGUGGACAAAAAAAAAAAAAAAAGGAAAAAAAUUCCCCAGCCACAAAAUCCUAAUAGCCAAAAGAUGCAGUUAUCAUGCAAUCAAACCCUCAUUCUGUCUAUGGUUGAUGGCAGAUCAUCACUUGACACACUUGUCCCCAUUUCUUUUCUCCAGAAUCCCUUGCAUGUGUCACUUUUUCUCGGGGUGUCAGGGUCUCUGGCAUUCCCUCCCUGUUUCUGUCUCUACCCUUCUUUUUUUUCAUUUUUUAUUUAUUUAUUUAUUUAUUUUUGUCCUUUUGCCAUUUCUUGAGCCGCUCCCACGGCAUAUGGAGGUUCCCAGGCUAGGGGUCGAAUCAGAGCUGUAGCCACCUGCUUACAGCACAGCCACAGCAACGCGGGAUCCAAACUGUGUCUGCAAACUACACCACAGCUCACGGUAACGCCGGAUUCUUAACCCACUGAGCAAGGCCAGGGAUCAAACCCCUAACCUCAUGGUUCCUAGUUGGAUUCGUUAACCACUGCGCCACGAGGGGAACUCCUGUCUCUACCCUUUUAUCCAGCAGCCUCUCUUCUUCCCCUCCUUGUCCUUCUGCCUUCUCCCUUUAGUAGUCACGGUAUGGAAAUAAAGUAUAAUUCAGCAUUUGUGGACUAAACUUGACGUUCCCCAUUUUUACAUUACAAGCAGACGUGCGGAAUCACAGCCUAAGCAUUUCCCCAAAGCCCAGUCCCACCUGGCUCUCUGUUUCGAGCCACCUCCCCCGGAUAUCCCUCCACCUCGGAAGACCCAUCUUGCCUGUGAUGGGGCUCAUCGCCUUUUCUCUAUAUUGAUAUCUAUUUCUCUAUUUCGAAUUUUUAAGUUAGUCAUCAUUUGAUCGUCCAUAAAAAUCUAGCUAUUUGACUUCUCAAGGAAAACGCUGCCGGUAACUACCGCUCCCACUGCUGUUACCACCACAUGACCCAGCAGCACGGAGCCUGAACUCCUGAACGAUGACAAGCAGUUGCAACCGGCCAGGGGCUGUCCUUUUGGAUGGGCACGCGAUCUUCACUUUGCCUCCGCUCGGAGUGAAAGAAGCCAGACAAAAAGGAGUGCUCAUGGGAGGAUGACCGUUCUAGCAAGUAAAAAACAGACUAAAGGGGUGUGUCAGUGGACUCAGAAUAGCCAUCUCCCCAGGGGGUGAUCACGGACUCAGAGGAGGUGUACCAACCAGAAGACACACAAGGGAACCUUCUCAAGAGCUGAAAAUGUUCUACGUUCUGAUUCGGCGGUGAUUACAAUGAUGUUUAUUGAUAUAAAAAUACUUGCCUGUGUACUUGAGAUGCACAGCAUGUAAAUUUUAUAUUAAAAGAAAGAAAGAGGGGGGAAUGUUAGCACAAUGCCUAGCCUAGGAUGAGGCACAGAGUAAGAACUCUGCAAAUGACUGAUAUGAACAUUUUCUUGAAGUGCAAGGGCUCUGAAGCCAGGCGGCCUGUUAGAGGUCUGGUUCUACCAUUUAGCAACUAUAUGAACUUGACCAUGCAAUUGUUUCCUGUCCUCAGUUUCUCCAUCGGUGAAACAGAGCUAACAAGACCUCAUGGGGUCGUGAUGAGUUUUACUGAAACACUUAGCACAGGGCCUGGCAAAGAGUAAGUACCCAGCAAAUAUUCUGACACCUGCUACCACAUGGGUGAGGCUUAAAGAUACCAUGCUGAGUGAAUAAGCCCGUCGGUAAAGGGCCAACACCGUGUGAUUCCAGUUCUAUGAGGCGCUGAAAGGAGUUAAGUUCAUAAAGACAGAAAGCAGAAUGGGGCUUUGCCAGAGACCAGAGGGAGAGAAGGAAUGGGGAGUUUAACUCGUAUUUCAUGGAUACAGCAUUUCAGCCUGUGAAGGUGAAAAGGUUCUGGAGGUGGGAGUUCCCGUCAUGGUGCGGCGGAAACGAAUCCGACUGGGAACCAUGAGGUUGCGGGUUCCAUCCCUGGCCUCGCUCAGUGGGUGUUCGAUCCCUGGCCUCACUCAGUGGGUUAAGGAUCUGGCAUUGCCGUGAGCUGUGGUGUAGGUCGUAGACGUGGCUUGGAUCUGGCAUUGCUGUGGCUGUGGAGCAGGCUGGCAGCUAUAGCUCUGAUUCGACCCCUAGCCUGGGAACUUCCAUAUGCCAUGGGUGGGGCUCUAAAAAGCAAAGUCAGUCAAUCAAUCAAUCGAUCGAUCAAUCAAAUAAAAAAAAGUUCUGGAGAUGGACAGUGGUGCUGGUGGCACAACACGAGGCAUGUACAUAAUAGCACUGAACUGUAUGCUUGAAAUGGCUAAAAGGAUAAAUCUGAUGUAUAUUUUACCACAAUAAUAAAUACAUACAUACAUAAAGAUUAUGACAAUGAUGAGCCUGUGCCAGCCCGUGAAGAAACUGAAAUCCCACUUUUUUAAACUUGGGAUUUUGAGACUACACAGAGAAGCAUUUUGAUAAACCCGGCUUUUAAAGACGAGGUCAAGCUUAAAACGCUAACAAGUAAAUUCCCAAGAAUAAAAGAUAACCUAUAUGAAUAGAGCUUUCCCCCUUACAUAUUCUGGGUUUUCUCUCCUUAAAGGAAUACCCAUUAAAUAACCAAAUAGAUCAAGAGCAGCAACUAAAAUGUCAAGAUGACUGUUUCUCACCCCUGUAUACCAAGUGAGUGGCUAGUUUUGUGGGGAAAAGUCAUGCCCCUAACUUAGCAGAUCAUUUUUUUCUUUCUUUUCUUUUUUUUUUUUUUUUUUCCUUUUUAGGGCCGCACCUGCAGCAUAUGGAAGUUCCCAGGCUAGGGGUUGAACUGGAGCUGCAGCCACCAGCCUACACCACAGCCACAGCUACAGCCAUGUGGAAUCCAAGCCACAUCUGCGGCCUACACCACAGCUGGCGGCAAUGCCACAUCAUUAACCCACUGAGGGGGCCAGGGAUCCUGCAUCCUCAUGGAUACUCGUCAGGUUUAUAACCCGCUGAGCCACAGUGGGAACUUCAAGCAGAUCAUUUUUUAACUAUGGAGUUGCUCGCUGUCCCUCCUAUAUUUCAUUUCCAGCACGCAUUUGUUUGUGGGAUACCACAUUCGUUCAUUUUAUAUGCAUUUUUACAUCUAUACCAUAACGUGUAAAACUCUGGUACAAACAUUUUUCAGAAUGACCCAAUGUUUAUCAAUGAAAGCACAUAAAACAUCAAGUGCCAUAUGACUAGGAUGGGGUGGUCAGUCCCACGAGACUCUGAUGGCUGGAAUGAAGGAAAGAGUAGAGAAGAGCCAGCUCAGGUCCAGGGUGUGGGAGGUGCCCCACGGGAUUCAGAGAGAAGGUGAAGAAGGUCCCAGGAGCUUCUGGGGCUGGAGCCGCCUGGGACAUAGCCUCCUACCCCGCCUCUUACCCCAGACCUGCAUGGAAAACACUGUAAUAGGAUGGGGAUGAGGAUACAGGCUAACCCAGUAACACCCCACUCAGCAUCAUCCUCCGCGUAUCCUCAAGGAUAAAACACAACUGAGUCACGAGUAAAAUACCCGCCAUAAUCUUCUUCUUGUAUAAAUGGCUCAUUGGAAAUAGAAUCUGCAGGAGUUCCUGUCAUGGCUCAGCGGUAACAAAACUGACUGGUAUCUAUGACACGGGUUCGAUCCCUGGCCUCACUCAGGGGGUUAAGGAUCCCACGUUGCCGUGAGCUGUGGUGUAGGCCAUAGACAGGGCUCGGAUCUGGCGUAGCUGUGGCUGUGGUGUAGACCGGCAGCUGCAGUUCCCAUUUAACCCCUAGCCUGGGAACAUCCAUAUGCCACAGGUGUGGCC